rnacentral:rRNA from 1 species
GACGAACGCUGGCGGCGUGCCUAAUACAUGCAAGUCGAGCGAAUGGAUUAAGAGCUUGCUCUUAUGAAGUUAGCGGCGGACGGGUGAGUAACACGUGGGUAACCUGCCCAUAAGACUGGGAUAACUCCGGGAAACCGAGGCUAAUACCGGAUAACAUUUUGAACCGCAUGGUUCGAAAUUGAAAGGCGGCUUCGGCUGUCACUUAUGGAUGGACCCGCGUCGCAUUAGCUAGUUGGUGAGGUAACGGCUCACCAAGGCAACGAUGCGUAGCCGACCUGAGAGGGUGAUCGGCCACACUGGGACUGAGACACGGCCCAGACUCCUACGGGAGGCAGCAGUAGGGAAUCUUCCGCAAUGGACGAAAGUCUGACGGAGCAACGCCGCGUGAGUGAUGAAGGCUUUCGGGUCGUAAAACUCUGUUGUUAGGGAAGAACAAGUGCUAGUUGAAUAAGCUGGCACCUUGACGGUACCUAACCAGAAAGCCACGGCUAACUACGUGCCAGCAGCCGCGGUAA